CUACGAUUCACUCAGCGAUGCAAACCUUGCUGAGAGUGACUAACAGACUGGAGGGAUGGAGUGGAUGUUUCAUGAUAGUGGGAGCUGCGUAAGCAGCGGUUGUCGGUCUGUUGCGUCUGAAUCUGAUGCAAGGCCUGAGGUCAGCAGGGCUAGCACUUGUUAAGGAAAGAUGGACACGGUUUGAGAGAAAGUAAAGACAAAAUAGAACCCAUGAGAAUAAACUGAAACCUACAUCUGUCUUUGGAACACACAUUGGUCUCUAGUCACCUCCAGGGCUUCAACUUGGAUGAUGUAAGUGACCUGCAGAAAAGCGUGCGCAAUCCGUCAUGGAACCAAAUAGGAACUGAGCUCAGGACUUUACAAAACUGAAGGAAGACAUCCGCAGGAACUACAAGAGCUGCGGGUCCAGCAGCUGCCCCUCGCCAGCAAUGUGGGCCAGCAUAUCAGCAACUGCAUAUAUAAGCUGCAAAAUUAUCCCCCCCUACGUUGACCUGUGUAAGAGCAUAUGCUUACUGCGUGAGUUCCGCAAGGUGUUUUGUAACUCAGAAAAUCUCAGUCAGGAACUACUAAUCAAAUGCCAGCCUUGCUUGUGACUGCAUACAUCCUCACACCGAGUCAGAUGGGAAGAACCAACAAUUUAUGCUGUGCAGAAAAGACCUCUAGAGAAAAGUGAUCAACAGGAAAUAACACAAUAAUUUGCCUUUGAAUUCUCAAAGUAAAAUCUAUUUAUCUUCUCCAUGUGGAACGGCCUACUCUCAGCAUCUUUGCAUUCAGCUGUGUUGAGUUGGGGAGGAGAAAACUAGCAGGAAAAUUUGUGAGCAUAUCCUUUUUCAUUAAAAUGACACAUCUUAGGAAAAUGUUCCCAAGUUCUGCACAAUUAAUUAGACUUCCUAGGAUUUUGAGUAGGAAAUUUUGACUCCUAUAUAUUAACUUUAAGAAGUUAUGUUUUCUGCAAUAACUGGAUGGAAAUAUCAUUAAAAUUUCAAAACAUACUAUUUAAAUCAAGUACUUUCUUAAAAAUGUAAAUAUAUUUCCUGAAAACUGACAUAUCU
rnacentral:lncRNA from 1 species